GAGAGUUUAGUCUAAUAGUAAGACGUCAAACAUUGCCUGAAGAUGCAGGUUCAAAUCCUGUAACUCCCU
rnacentral:tRNA from 1 species